rnacentral:rRNA from 1 species
UCUGGUCGAUCCUGCCAGCAGUAUAUGCUUGCGUCGAGGAUUAAGCCAUGCAUGUGUAAGUUGAACUCAUUUUAUGAGAAGACUGCGAAAGGCUCAUUAUAUCUGUGAAGAUCUACGUGGACGUUCGAGAAUUAAAAGGAUAACCAAGUUAAAGUUUGGCUAAUACUUGCGAAAAACGUUUCUGUAAAGGAGCGUGUAUUUGUUAGAUUGAAAACCGACAAUUUUGGUGAAGCAUAACAACUGAGCGGACCUAGUGUGUUGAACACGUAGGCGAUCCACACGAUUCACAGCCCUAUCAGGUGGACGGUAGGAUAGAGGCCUACCGUGCCUUUAACGGGUACGGGGAAUUGGGGUUUGAUACCGGAGAAGGGGCCUGAGAGAUGGCCACUAUUUCUAAGGAAAGCAGCAGGCGCGAAAAUUUUCCAAUCCCGACAAGGGGAGAAAGUGAAAACGAAUAGAAAAGAAGGGUAUGUAUAAUACUUUUCUAUUCCAAUGAUGCAAUUGUAAAGGCAUUGCAAAGAAGCAAGUAGAGGGCAAGUCUGGUGCCAGCAGCCGCGGUAAUUCCAGCUCUACUAGUGUAUAUUGAAGUUGUUGCAGUUAAAAAGCUCGUAGUCGAAGAUGUAGGAGUUGGAGGUGGGUGGGAAUGAAUGUUUCCGCGCGCAACCAAACCUACGGGAAUGGAGAAGGGGUUGUGGUUUGACAUUUGUUUGUUUGACACCAGCCGUUAACUUUCUUUAUUGUUUUAUUUUGAGAAAAGUGAAUUGCUUCAAGAAGUCUGUAACUGGACGUUGAACAAACAGCAUGAGAUAAUGGAAGAGGAUUUGAAAUCUGUUCUGUUGGUUGGAGGGUUUUGAAUAAUGAUGAAGAAGAGCGGAAAGGGGCAUUCGGAUUUUGGAGUUAGAGGUGAAAUUCUGUGAUUUCCAAAGGACGAACAAAUGCGAAGGCAAUUGCCAGGGACGCGUCUAUUGAUCAAGAACGAAAGUUGAGGGAUUGAAGAUGAUUAGAUACCGUUGUAAUCUCGACUAGUAACGAUGCCGGCCAAGGAUGAGCGAGCAGUGAAUGGAUGCUCUCGUUUGCACUUUGAGAGAAAUCAGAGCGAAUUGGUUCUGGGGGGAAUAUGGUGGCAACGCUGAAACUUAAAGGAAUUGACGGAUCAGCACCACAAGGCGUGGAAUUUGCGGCUUAAUUUGACCCAACGCGGGGAAACUUACCAGGGCAAGACACAAGUAGGAUUGACAGAUUGAAGUUCUUUCAUGAUUUUGUGGAUGGUGGUGCAAGGCCGUUUUCAGUUGGUGAAGUGAUUUGUCUGGUUAAUUCCGUUAACGAACGAGACCAAGAAUGAAAG